GGACUACUAGGGUUUCUAAUCCUGUUUGCUCCCCACGCUUUCGCGCCUCAGCGUCAGUAUUGGUCCAGUUGGCCGCCUUCGCCACUGGUGUUCUUGCGAAUAUCUACGAAUUUCACCUCUACACUCGCAGUUCCACCAACCUCUACCAAACUCAAGCCAAACAGUAUCGAAGGCAAUUCUGUGGUUGAGCCACAGGCUUUCACCCCCGACUUGAAUGGCCGCCUACGCGCCCUUUACGCCCAGUGAUUCCGAGCAACGCUAGCCCCCUUCGUAUUACCGCGGCUGCUGGCAC
rnacentral:rRNA from 1 species